rnacentral:rRNA from 1 species
CGGUAGCAGGCCUUCGGGUGCUGACGAGUGGCGGACGGGUGAGUAAUGCGUAGGAAUCUGUCUUUUAGUGGGGGACAACCCAGGGAAACUUGGGCUAAUACCGCAUGAGNCCUGAGGGGGAAAGCGGGGGACCUUCGGACCUCGCGCUAAGAGAAGAGCCUACGUCUGAUUAGCUAGUUGGUAGGGUAAAGGCCUACCAAGGCGACGAUCAGUAGCUGGUCUGAGAGGACGACCAGCCACACUGGGACUGAGACACGGCCCAGACUCCUACGGGAGGCAGCAGUGGGGAAUUUUUCGCAAUGGGGGCAACCCUGACGAAGCAAUGCCGCGUGGAUGAAGAAGGCCUUCGGGUUGUAAAGUCCUUUCGUGGGGGACGAAAAGGAGGUUCCUAAUCGAG